UGCCACCAUCUUCAGUGCAUUCUCUCUUAAAGGUGUACUGUGUGCCUCAUGCGUUCUCUCUUAAAGGUGUACUGUGUGCUUUAUGCUGUCACCAUCUUCAAUGCAUUCUCUCUUAAAGGUGUACUGUGUGCUUUAUGCUGUCACCAUCUUCAGUGCAUUCUCUCUUAAAGGUGUUCUGUGUGCUUCAUGCAUUCUCUCUUAAAGGUGUACUGUGUGAUUUAUGCUGUCACCAUCUUCAGUGCAUUCUCUCUUAAAGGUGUUCUGUGUGCUUCAUGCAUUCUCUCUUAAAGGUGUACUGUGUGAUUUAUGCUGUCACCAUCUUCAGUGCAUUCUCUCUUAAAGGUGUACUAUGUGAUUUAUGCUGUCGCCAUCUUCAGUGCCCUGGUGCGGUGACUCUCUGCCAUCACGGCGCUGCAUGUGCGCAUGUUCUCCCAGCCUGUGUCUCUGUGGCUUCCUCCCUCACAGGGUGGAGGUAGUGGGCAGGUGGAGGUAGUUGGCUUGAGUGGUUUG
ensembl:lncRNA